rnacentral:lncRNA from 1 species
GCGGAUGUCAUGUGAGAAGUGGAACCAGUGUCCAUGUACCAAUUUGCAUCUGGAGGAUGGAUGCCGAGAGUAUGCAUUGCGGCCUCUAUAUCUGUUGGAGGUGGUGCUGCGGUGUAGGCUUGCGGAGGCCUGGGCCAAGUACACCAAGCUGUUGACGAAGCUGCUGUCCCAAGUUGGGCCUGGUCCAUGAAUUAGAAGGGUACGAACAAUGAGGUAUAGCCCACGGAGCCAUCCAUUGCCAAGGGUACGACUGUCCGCCAGACCAUGGGAAAUUGGCCGAAGCUUGCGGACUGGAAUGUUGUUGUCCACCACUGUUGCUAUUGCGGCCGCCUAUCUUACCUGCACCGCUGGUGCCACCCUUUUCGCCGCCACAACCACCAUUGUUGCUGCGAUAUUGACCGCCAGUAUUGUUGCGAAAGUGAGUCCUCUUCCCACC